UACGUAGGGGGCGAGCGUUGUCCGGAUUUAUUGGGCGUAAAGAGCGUGUAGGCGGCCAGGUAGGUCUGCUGUGAAAACUCGAGGCUCAACCUCGAGACGUCGGCGGAAACCAUCUGGCUAGAGUCCGGAAGAGGAGAGUGGAAUUCCUGGUGUAGCGGUGAAAUGCGCAGAUAUCGGGAGGAACACCAAUGGCGAAGGCAGCUUGCUGGGACGGUACUGACGCUGAGACGCGAAAGCGUGGGGAGCGAACAGG
rnacentral:rRNA from 1 species